GGAGGGGGCUAGCGUUGUUCGGAAUUACUGGGCGUAAAGCGCGCGUAGGCGGUUCCACUAGUCAGGCGUGAAAGCCCCGGGCUCAACCCGGGAAUAGCGCUUGAUACUUUGGAGCUAGAGUCCGGGAGAGGAGAGUGGAAUUCCCAGUGUAGAGGUGAAAUUCGUAGAUAUUGGGAAGAACACCGGUGGCGAAGGCGGCUCUCUGGACCGGUACUGACGCUCUGGCGCGAAAGCGUGGGGAGCAAACAGGAUUAGAUACCCUGGUAGUCCACGCUGUAAACGAUGAGUGCUAGAUGUUGGGGGGCCUAGCCCUUCAGUGUCGCAGCUAACGCAUUAAGCACUCCGCCUGGGGAGUACGGCCGCAAGGCUA
rnacentral:rRNA from 1 species